GAUGAACGCUGGCGGUAUGCUUAACACAUGCAAGUCGAACGCAGACUUUCGGGUCUGAGUGGCGGACGGGUGCGUACCGCGUGAUAAUCUGUCUUCAGGUUGGGGACAACCACGGGAAACGGUGGCUAAUACCCAAUGUGCCGUCAAGGGGAAAGAGUAAUUGCCUGAAGAUGAGCUCGCGUCUGAUUAGCUAGUUGGUGCGGUAAGAGCUCACCAAGUCGACGAGCAGUAGCUGGUCUGAGAGGACGAUCAGCCACACUGGGACUGAGACACGGCACAGACGACUAUGGGAGGAAGCAGUGGGGAAUUUUCCGCAAAGGGCGAGAGUCUGACGAAGCUAUACCGCGUGAGGGAGGAAGGAUCUUUGGUUGAAAACCUCUUUGCUCAGGGAAGAAGGCAAUGACGGUACCUGAGGAAUCAGCAUCGGCUAACUCCGUG
rnacentral:rRNA from 1 species